rnacentral:rRNA from 1 species
GGCGCACUAGCAAGAAACAGACGAGUGGGAGUGGCUGCUGCAGUCUGCCGAGACUCAGAUGGUAAUUUUCUGGGCUCAUCAGCAGUUGUCUUUAAAGGAAUUAGAGACCCUCGUAUUUUGGAAACAUACGCUUGCCGAGAAGCCCUAUCUUUGGCGGAGGAUCUCUACGAGCAGAAUAUCAUGGUAGCCUCAGACUGCCAAGGUGUGGUGCAAGACAUCAAUGAAGGCACAGGGGGUACCAAUGCGGCUGUUAUACAUGAAAUAAUAGACCGUAGAGCUAGUUUCUCUUCUUGCUCUUUUGUUUUUGAGCGAAGGAACAAUAACUUCGAGGCUCAUAAUCUCGUUAAAUUCGCUUGUAAUUUAGAUAUAUGGAGGCAUAUUUGGUUGGGCACUCCUCAUGACCGAAACCGUGUACCUAUGAACAUUGUUUUGAAUCAAUAA